GUCUCCGCAGUGGUGGAUUGGACUGGAUUGGAAAUGUAUAUAUCUUUCUACUUGGCCACCUGAUAGGCGAAACAGCUUUUCCCAUUCGAAAAAACUCAAAUUGUCCAAUUCCCGCCUUCCAAGAAUGCGGAACGCCAGCAGGCAAUCGAGGAAAAGUUUUAAGGAGCCGAAACAGCUGUUCAUUUGCUGACUGACUUGCCGGCAAUUACAGCGAUUUUUCGCGGAAGAAGGGCCUGUUCGAAUAGUUUGGGUGCACUCGAAUUUUUGAUGGUUCCGUUUCAUAUGUGUGCAAGCUUGUACUUGAGAACAAGUGCGUUUAUUUUUAGCCGAGUAUUGGAUUAAUUUUCUCGUAAGACAUGUAAGAGCUUCCAUUAUUUUCCUAGAGCAGCACCCUAGCAACCUGUUGAAGGAGCUUGCAACUCGAGCCGCGUUCGCUGCCAGCAUAGAGCUCGUUGCACGUGGCAAGCACCGAUUGUUUACUCAAUAUUCUCGGCGUGCCGCAGAUUGUGCCUUCAGAAAGCAAAAUAAACACAAGUUCCAUGAAAAGGUAUCAUUUGUCAAGCGACAGCCGACAAAUGAAUACACAUACGCAUGUAUGUUUGUAUGUGCAUGUGGUCCUAUGUACCCAACGACUUAGCGGCUUAAGUAGCUGCUCUAAAUAAUAAAUUCAAUUGUAAUCAGAA